GCAGACCCUCCCUCCCAGAUCCUGCCACCUCCUGGACAGCUCACUAAGAAUGCAGCUUCAAAAUGGAUGCUGUCCAGGAGGUGGGAGGGUCUGGGAGGGAGGGUCUGC
rnacentral:miRNA from 1 species